UGUGUGUGUUAUCUUUGAAGAGAGGACGCAUUCAUUGUUAGGGAGUGAAUGCUUUACGGAGUAACA
rnacentral:sRNA from 1 species